rnacentral:rRNA from 1 species
AAUUARGGGUGAAAUUCCUCGGCUCCACAUCRUGGAAAUGCCUUUGAAAACUGCCAGACUUGAAUUCUGGAAGAGGGUGGCGGAAUUCCUGGUGUAGGAGGGAAAUCCGUA